UAUGUGAUCGUCUCUCGCAUAUCAAUAAGCGGAGGAAAAGAAACUAACAAGGAUUCCCCUAGUAACGGCGAGUGAAGCGGGAAGAGCUCAAAUUUGAAAUCUUAAAGGGUUUCCCUUUACGAAUUGUAGUUUAAAGAAGUGUUUUCUGUUGAGGUUUUGGUAAAAGUUCUUUGGAAUAGGACAUCAUAGAGGGUGAGAAUCCCGUAUUUGACCUUUACUUUCAACUUUGUGAUACACUUUCAAAGAGUCGGAUUGUUUGGGAAUGCAGUCCAAAAUGGGUGGUAAAUUUCAUCUAAAGCUAAAUAUUGGCGAGAUGACCGAUAGCGAACAAGUACCGUGAGGGAAAGAUGAAAAGAACUUUGAAAAGAGAGUUAAACAGUACGUGAAAUUGUCAAAAGGGAAGCGUUUGACACCAGUGUUGUUUUUCUGAAAAUCAAUUAAAGAACUGUUUAUGCUAAGUUGUUUAGACUUUAUCAGCUAAUCUGCUUAGUUUUGAGCUUUUCUUUAAUGCACUUUUCAGUUAACAAGUCAACAUCAAUUUCUUUUGCUGUAAAAAAGCUUGAGGAAGGUGGCUUGAGAUUCGUCUUAAGUGUUUAUAGCCUCUUGCCUAUGCAGUCGGAGAGAUUGAGGUCUGCAGCGUAGAUCCUUCGGGGCUAAAUGCAUUUGUGCUAAGUUAUAGCAUUUUAUAGACAACUUGUUGACUAUGAUUUGUCUUGUAGCUUACUCGCUUAUGUUAUUUUACCUACGCUUAGGAUGUUGAGUAGCGACAUACGCAC
rnacentral:rRNA from 1 species